rnacentral:rRNA from 1 species
GUCGCCUACGGGGCGCAGCAGUGGGGGAUAUUGCACAAUGGGGGAAACCCUGAUGCAGCGACGCCGCGUGAGUGAAGAAGUAUUUCGGUACGUAAAGCUCUAUCAGCAGGGAAGAAUAAUGACGGUACCUGACUAAGAAGCCCCGGCUAACUACGUGCCAGCAGCCGCGGUAAUACGUAGGGGGCAAGCGUUAUCCGGAUUUACUGGGUGUAAAGGGAGCGUAGACGGCAUGGCAAGUCUGAAGUGAAAGCCCGGGGCUCAACCGCGGGACUGCUUUGGAAACUGUUAAGCUGGAGUGCAGGAGG